rnacentral:tRNA from 1 species
UGAUCUGUAGCUGAGUUGGUUAACGCGCCAGACUAGCGAUAUGGAUUCGUGGGUUCGAAUCCCACCAAAACAA